rnacentral:rRNA from 1 species
CCUACGGGGGGCUGCAGUGGGGAAUAUUGGACAAUGGGCGAAAGCCUGAUCCAGCCAUGCCGCGUGUGUGAAGAAGGCCUUCGGGUUGUAAAGCACUUUCAGUGGGGAAGAAAGCCUUGGGGCUAAUACCCUCGAGGAAGGACAUCACCCACAGAAGAAGCACCGGCUAACUCCGUGCCAAGCAGCCGCGGUAAUACGGAGGGUGCGAGCGUUAAUCGGAAUUACUGGGCGUAAAGCGCGCGUAGGCGGUCUGAUAAGCCGGUUGUGAAAGCCCCGGGCUCAACCUGGGAACGGCAUCCGGAACUGUCAGGCUAGAGUGCAGGAGAGGAAGGUAGAAUUCCCGGUGUAGCGGUGAAAUGCGUAGAGAUCGGGAGGAAUACCAGUGGCGAAGGCGGCCUUCUGGACUGACACUGACGCUGAGGUGCGAAAGCGUGGGUAGCAAACAGGAUUAGAUACCCCGGUAGUC